rnacentral:rRNA from 1 species
UCAAGCGAACAAGGGCGCAGGGCGAAUGCCUUGGCACUGGGAGCCGAUGAAAGACGUGAUAAGCUGCGAUAAGCUUCGGGGAGCUGCAAAUAAGCAUUGAUCCGGAGAUUUCUGAAUGAGGAAACUCACCUGGGUUCAUACUCAGGUACGUUAUACUGAACUUAAAAAUAGGUAUAUCGAGGGAACCGCCUGAACUGAAACAUCUAAGUAGGGCGAGGAAGAGACAUCAAACGAGAUUCCGUAAGUAGUGGCGAGCGAACGCGGAAGAGGGCAAACCGGAAGUAGAAAUACUUCCGGGGUACGGACCGCAUUUAGGACUUAAGUUGUUAACCGAACGGCAUGGGAAGGCCGGUCAGAGAGUGUGAGAACCACGUAGGUGAAAACGGAGAGAGCUGCGCAGGAUCCAGAGUACGGCCAGACACGUGAAACCUGGUCGGAAUACGGGGGGACCACCCUCCAACCCUAAAUACUACCCAGUGACCGAUAGCGUAUAGUACUGUGAAGGAAAGGUGAAAAGCACCCCGGGAGGGGAGUGAAAAAGAACCUGAAACCCUGUGCCUACAAGCACCUAGAGCACGUCAAUGUGUGAUAGGGUACUUUUUGUAGAACGGUCCGGCGAGCGAUUGUAUGCAGCAAGGUUAAGGACUUAAGGUCUGGAGCCGAAGCGAAAGCGAGUUUGAAAAGGGCGUUAAGUUGCAUACAAUGGGCCCGAAACCGGGUGACCUACCCAUGGUCAGGUUGAAGUGGAAGUAAAAUUCCAUGGAGGACCGAACCGACCUCCGUUGAAAAGGCGGCGGAUGAACUGUGGGUAGCGGAGAAAUUCCAAUCGAACCCGGAGAUAGCUGGUUCUCCCCGAAAUAGUUUUAGGACUAGCCUCAAGUUAGAUACCUGGAGGUAAAGCACUGAAUAGCCUAGCGGCCGAGAGGUUAGCGAAGCUUAUCAAACUCAGAAUGCCAGAGUAUUGAUGCUUGGGAGUCAGACAGUGUCAGAUAAAUGUCAUUGUCAAAAGGGAAACAGCCCAGAUCUACAGCUAAGGUCCCAAAGUCAGGUUAAGUGGAAAACGAUGUGAAGAUACGCAGACAACCAGGAUGUUGGCUCAGAAGCAGCCACUCAUUCAAAGAGUGCGUAAUAGCUCACUGGUCGAGCGUCUUUGCGCGGAGAAUUUAACGGGGCUAAACCUGACACCGAAGCUUAGGCAAUGUAGUAAUACAUUGGGUAGGGGAGCGUUGUAUACGCGGUGAAACAGUAGCGCAAGCGGCUGUGGAGUGUAUAGAAGUGAGAAUGCCGGAAUGAGUAGCGCGAAUGCAGUGAGAAUCUGCAUGGCCGAAAGCCUCAGGUUUCUGGAGGAAGGUUCGUCCGCUCCAGGUUAGUCGGGAGCUAAGGUGAGGCCUAACGGCGUAGCCGAUGCACAGACGGUAGAGAUUCCGUCACCACCAAAAGAGUUAAACACAGGGACACAUUUGAAGUCUCGGAGCCGGGUGUUGGUUCCGGUAGCGAUCGAGGGAAGUUAGUACCGAAGUCCGGGAUGGAAGAUGGCGAGAAAAGCUGUGUGUAUUUCUGCGGUGCCCGUACCGCAAACCGACACAGGUAGGUAGGAAGAAGAUUCUAAGGCCAACGGGAGAAGGGUUGUUAAGGAACUCGGCAAAUUGACCCCGUAACUUCGGGAGAAGGGGUGCUCCAGAGAUGGAGCCGCAGAGAAUCGGCCCAAGCAACUGUUUACCAAAAACACAGGUUUGUGCUAAAUCGAAAGAUGACGUAUACGAGCUGACGCCUGCCCGGUGCUGGAAGGUUAAGAGGAGAUGUGCAAGCAUUGAAUCGAAGCCCCAGUGAACGGCGGCCGUAACUAUAACGGUCCUAAGGUAGCGAAAUUCCUUGUCAGGUAAG